rnacentral:rRNA from 1 species
CCUACGGGUGGCAGCAGUGGGGAAUAUUGGGCAAUGGGCGCAAGCCUGACCCAGCAACGCCGCGUGAAGGAAGAAGGCUUUCGGGUUGUAAACUUCUUUUCUCAGGGACGAAGAAAGUGACGGUACCUGAGGAAUAAGCCACGGCUAACUACGUGCCAGCAGCCGCGGUAAUACGUAGGUGGCAAGCGUUAUCCGGAUUUAUUGGGUGUACAGGGCGUGUAGGCGGGAGCGCAAGUCAGAUGGGAAAACUCAGGGCUCAACCCUGAGCCUGCAUUUGAAACUGUGUUUCUUGAGUGCUGGAGAGGCAAUCGGAAUGCCGUGUGUAGCGGUGAAAUGCGGAGAUAUACGGAGGAACACCAGUGGCGAAGGCGGAUUGCUGGACAGUAACUGACGCUGAGGCGCGAAAGCGUGGGGAGCAAACAGGAGUAGAUACCCGAGUAGUC